rnacentral:rRNA from 1 species
CCUACGGGAGGCAGCAGUGGGGAAUAUUGGGCAAUGGGCGCAAGCCUGACCCAGCAACGCCGCGUGAAGGAAGAAGGCUUUCGGGUUGUAAACUUCUUUUCUCAGGGACGAAGCAAGUGACGGUACCUGAGGAAUAAGCCACGGCUAACUACGUGCCAGCAGCCGCGGUAAUACGUAGGUGGCAAGCGUUAUCCGGAUUUACUGGGUGUAAAGGGAGUGUAGGCGGGACUGCAAGUCAGAUGUGAAAACCAUGGGCGCAAACUAUGGCCUGCAUUUGAAACUGUAGUUCUUGAGUACUGGAGAGGCAGACGGAAUUCCUAGGGUAGCGGUGAAAUGCGUAGAUAUUAGGAGGAACACCAGUGGCGAAGGCGGUAUGCUGGAGAGCAACUGACGCUGAGGCGCGAAAGCGUGGGGAGCAAACAGGAUUAGAUACCCGAGUAGUC